GGGGAUUUAGCUCAGUGGUAGAGCGCUUGCCUAGGAAGCACAAGGCCCUGAGUUCAGUCCCCA
rfam:Rattus norvegicus chromosome 15, whole genome shotgun sequence.